AAUCAAGUCCAGUCAGUAGCUGGACUACUGUCUACUCACCAACUGUUUCUUUUCUCAGGCUUCUGCUCUUUCCAGUUCAGCGCUGAAAGAAAAAAAAACAGUCUCUAUCUUCUACUCGAUUUCUGUUGCGAAGUGAAAGGAACGUGAACCUCCAACAAUAUGUCUGAAAUGGAAUCUUCUGACCUCAAGUAAGUGCGUGUUGGCACAGUGGCACUAUCGUCCAAAAGAGGCGCAGUCGUCAUCUUGCAUCAUGGCCUGACAGCCUGAGGAAAGCUUGAAUGUGUCUCACGCUGCCGGAACACGUCUGCACGUCUGUUCUCACGUCACGGAUCUUGUCUGCACAUACAGUGGAGUCGAAAGGGUGUGGCCGCACUUUCCCAUUCCCACAUCAUUGCUUGUGCCUACACGUGUGAGCGAGGGCAUGCAUACAGUGCGUGAGCGUACGUGAGGGGAGUCAUGUCAGCAGGCGGGAGAUUCUUCAGAAGGCGUCAGUCCCGCCGAAAGAGACCUUCGCUCUUCACUCGACUCAGCUGGGAGUGACUCCACGCUCCUGGACUUUCCUCCUGCAACAACCUCCAGAUGUUCAAUAGCCAUCACGUCGGAGCAAAGGCGACAACACGGAAAUAUCAGUAAAGAGUAAAUCCACCCCAUAUGAAUAUAUUGUUUAAUAUUCACUCAGUCUCCCAAUUUGUCUUCUUUUUGAAUGCAUGCAAGAAAAAGUUAUAGAUUUUUGAUAAAGCCAGCGUCUUCUCUCUUUUGAGGGAUUUAAUUUGAAGUUAAUCAGAAAUAAAAAAGUUUCUUCACAGGCACUUUCAAACAAACUCAAUUCAAAUGUGUUCCUCUGUGCCAUUUAAUCUGUGUUGUCAAAACAGUUACAGUAUAAUCAUUUGUCUCCACUCGGGAAGUUAGUCACAUUUGAAUUAAAGGAAGCCAAAGGCCAACACAAAGAACAAUAUUUGUUUCCUGAGCCAUAACACUUUUGAAAAAUCAAAUAUCCCAAACCACUUUGGUUCCUCUGAGUCAUUAUAAAUGGUUCAUAGAGAGAUGUCUCAGGGAAAUAUGUUGCGGAACAACAUGUGAUGAAAUGUUUUCAUUAAGCUGUUUGAUGUUUUAAAUCAAAUUUUUUCACAUCUAGCCGAAUAAAACCUUUGUGAUUUUCAUUUGUGGCCACAUCAAGAUUCAUAAUUGUAAAUACCUACAAUAGAUUUUGAGCUAACAACACAACACUGAGGAUUAUUAAUCUACAGCAGAAUUCCUCUGCA
rnacentral:lncRNA from 1 species